rnacentral:sRNA from 1 species
GGUUUGCCCGCAUUAGGGAUAGUAACGGCAUCCUUUUUGCUUUUUUUUGCAAAAAGAUAUAGUGGAUAGCCCGACUUUUU